GGGUUGUGAGGUUAAGCGACUAAGCGUACACGGUGGAUGCCCUGGCAGUCAGAGGCGAUGAAGGGCGUGCUAAUCUGCGAUAAGCGCCGGUAAGGUGAUAUGAACCGUUAUAACCGGCGAUACCCGAAUGGGGAAACCCAGUGUGACUCGUCACACUAUCAUUAACUGAAUCCAUAGGUUAAUGAGGCGAACCGGGGGAACUGAAACAUCUAAGUACCCCGAGGAAAAGAAAUCAACCGAGAUUCCCCCAGUAGCGGCGAGCGAACGGGGAGGAGCCCAGAGCCUGAAUCAGCAUGUGUGUUAGUGGAAGCGUCUGGAAAGGCGCGCGAUACAGGGUGACAGCCCCGUACACAAAAGCGCAUGUGCUGUGAGCUCGAUGAGUAGGGCGGGACACGUGGUAUCCUGUCUGAAUAUGGGGGGACCAUCCUCCAAGGCUAAAUACUCCUGACUGACCGAUAGUGAACCAGUACCGUGAGGGAAAGGCGAAAAGAACCCCGGCGAGGGGAGUGAAAAAGAACCUGAAACCGUGUACGUACAAGCAGUGGGAGCACAGGUUUACCUGUGUGACUGCGUACCUUUUGUAUAAUGGGUCAGCGACUUAUAUUCUGUAGCAAGGUUAACCGUAUAGGGGAGCCGGAGGGAAACCGAGUCUUAACCGGGCGUUAAGUUGCAGGGUAUAGACCCGAAACCCGGUGAUCUAGCCAUGGGCAGGUUGAAGGUUGGGUAACACUAACUGGAGGACCGAACCGACUAAUGUUGAAAAAUUAGCGGAUGACCUGUGGCUGGGGGUGAAAGGCCAAUCAAACCGGGAGAUAGCUGGUUCUCCCCGAAAGCUAUUUAGGUAGCGCCUCGUGAAUUCAUCUCCGGGGGUAGAGCACUGUUUCGGCUAGGGGGCCAUCCCGGCUUACCAACCCGAUGCAAACUGCGAAUACCGGAGAAUGUUAUCACGGGAGACACACGGCGGGUGCUAACGUCCGUCGUGAAGAGGGAAACAACCCAGACCGCCAGCUAAGGUCCCAAAGUCAUGGUUAAGUGGGAAACGAUGUGGGAAGGCCCAGACAGCCAGGAUGUUGGCUUAGAAGCAGCCAUCAUUUAAAGAAAGCGUAAUAGCUCACUGGUCGAGUCGGCCUGCGCGGAAGAUGUAACGG
rnacentral:rRNA from 1 species